GAUUCUGACAUUGUUGAGAGAGAAGUUCUUUCUUCCCUUGUUGGAAAUGUUAAGCAUAUAAUCGGGAUCAGAACUGGGAAUC
rnacentral:sRNA from 1 species